rnacentral:scRNA from 1 species
UAUUGCCCAGUUCCCCCACACAAUGAUGCUGU